AGGCCCCUCCCUGCUGAGCUGAUGAAGUACGCACGGGAAGACACUCACUACCUGACUUACAUUUACCACAGGAUGAAACAGGAAUUGCUGGCCCGUGGAAACGACCAGAAAAAUCUCCUGUUGUCCUGUUCUUCAGAGAAGCACAGAAAUUUGUGCAAAGGUGUACAAGAAGCAGGUGUUUAAGGAAGACUCAUACCUUGAGUUGUACAGGAAGAGUAAGAAGGUGUUCAACUCUCGACAGCUGCAGGCUCUACAGAAGUUGUAUCAAUGGAGAGACAAACUGGCCAGGCAGGAGGAUGAAAGCACAGGGUAUGUGUUACCUAACCACAUGAUUCUCCAGAUAGCUGACAUCCUGCCUCGGGAGCAGCAGGGUAUCUUUGCGUGCUGUAACCCCAUCCCUCCUCUAGUCAGGCAGUUCCUACCCGAGAUACACAGCUUUAUCCAGGAAGCCCGGGAAGCACCCCUUCUGAAGGUCUCCUUGCCUCAAGAAAAGAAACCCAGUGUAUACCAGCACCCUAGAUAUGACCCUGCUCAUUUAUUGAACUGUCCUCAUGACUCAAGUCACAUUACAGAUAGUCAGGAUCUGCCUACAAUACCAGAUGUAUCCAUGGUUACUAAAUCUUCAAUGUUGUAUGGUACCAACAACUCAGGGCCUUAUUGUGAGGGUGAAGGCUAAACCUCUUCUGACAGCCUUUGGAGACAAGAGAGACAAAAGAGGCAGCCAGUAAAGGACAGAGAAUGGCGGCGGCCCUAGCCUCCUCCUUCAUGAGUCCAUACACCAUGUUUCUGCCUGAUACAGGUGUUCCCAGUGCAGAAUCUGAGGCACAAAGUCUGGGUAAGUUGGACUCUGAAGAAACAUACUGUGAAGAGGAAGCGGUCACCUACUCCUCCCAAAGGUCCUCCCCCAAAGAAACUGAAGCCUGACCCCACCCCAGAGAAGCCAGACCUGUCGGUCCGAGAGAUAAAUGCACAACAACGCCAGAAGGAACAUCAGAACGAGGGUGUGGUCAAUUUACGCAUCACAGACGACGACAAACCCCAGAAAAAGAAGAAGAAGAAAGAGAAGAGAGAGAAGCAGCAAGAUGCCGAGUUCGCCGCCUUCGACUACAGUCAGGCAGACAAAAAUAUUUUCUUGGGUGGUGACAGUAAGAAGAAGAAACACGAUGUGUUCAAUCCUUAUGCUUCAUUAAAAGGCAAGGGAAACCAAAAGGUUGGUAGAUCCAAUCAAUCAUUUGCCAGAUCACAGAAAAGUCACAGCUAUAAACAAGAUGGAAAGGGAGGAAAACAGAACAGCUGGCCCAAAAAGAAAUAAAAGCACACUGGGAGACAACACAACAACAUGUGUCAUAGACACUUGUUCCUUACUCAAUAUGAAAAAACGAAAAAAAAACAUGUUACAUGUGGUUUAAUUGUUUUUUGCAAUUCAGAUAUAUUGUUUAGAUGUUGUUCCGAGAACAUUUAUUUCAACUGAAAUACGCUGAUGAAAAAUCAGAUAGGAUGGGAUUUACAAGAAAGGUUUCCGUAAUAUAAAAAGAUGAAAAUAAAAAUCUACAACUUACAAAAUUAUGAUUGGAUCUAUUCUUAUGGCAUACAUUAAAUUAGAUGUAUAGAAUUAUGUUAAUAAAAGUAUUUUUAUUGG
rnacentral:misc_RNA from 1 species